rnacentral:rRNA from 1 species
GACGAACGCUGGCGGCGUGCUUAACACAUGCAAGUCGAACGGAAAGGCCCUGCUUUUGUGGGGUGCUCGAGUGGCGAACGGGUGAGUAACACGUGAGUAACCUGCCCUUGACUUUGGGAUAACUUCAGGAAACUGGGGCUAAUACCGGAUAGGAGCUCCUGCUGCAUGGUGGGGGUUGGAAAGUUUCGGCGGUUGGGGAUGGACUCGCGGCUUAUCAGCUUGUUGGUGGGGUAGUGGCUUACCAAGGCUUUGACGGGUAGCCGGCCUGAGAGGGUGACCGGCCACAUGGGGACUGAGAUACGGCCCAGACUCCUACGGGAGGCAGCAGUGGGGAAUAUUGCAGAAUGGGCGGAAGCCUGAUGCAGCAACGCCGCGUGCGGGAUGACGGCCUUCGGGUUGUAAACCGCUUUCGCCUGUGACGAAGCGUGAGUGACGGUAAUGGGUAAAGAAGCACCGGCUAACUACGUG